UUAAGUUCAGCGGGUAAUCCUAUCUGAUUUGAGGUCUAAAUCAAAAGUGACUAAGAUCUAGCUAUGAGCUUCUACUUCAAAUUCGGCCACUUAGAAAGUGUCCUCAGCGAAUAGUCUAUCACGCUGAGUCAAUCCGAAUAUCGAAAUUGAGAUGCUAAUGUAUUACGAAUGAGCUUCGUCCGAAGGACCAGCAACACUCA
rnacentral:misc_RNA from 1 species